rnacentral:rRNA from 1 species
AAGGGGAGCAAUCCCUGAGUAGAGUGGCAAACGGGUGAGUAACACGUGGGUGACCUGCCUCAGAGUGGGGGAUAACGUCCCGAAAGGGACGCUAAUACCGCAUAACAUCCUGCCUUUGGAAAGGCGGAGAUCAAAGCCGGGGAUCGCAAGACCUGGCGCUUGGAGAGGGGCCCGCGUCUGAUUAGCUAGUUGGUAGGGUAAUGGCCUACCAAGGCGACGAUCAGUAUCCGGCCUGAGAGGGCGGACGGACACACUGGGACUGAGACACGGCCCAGACUCCUACGGGAGGCAGCAGUGGGGAAUUGUUCGCAAUGGGCGCAAGCCUGACGACGCAACGCCGCGUGGAGGAUGAAGAUCUUCGGG